rnacentral:rRNA from 1 species
GACGAACGCUGGCGGCGUGCUUAACACAUGCAAGUCGAACGGAAAGGCCCUGCUUUUGUGGGGUGCUCGAGUGGCGAACGGGUGAGUAACACGUGAGUAACCUGCCCUUGACUUUGGGAUAACUUCAGGAAACUGGGGCUAAUACCGGAUAGGAGCUCCUGCUGCAUGGUGGGGGUUGGAAAGUUACGGCGGUUGGGGAUGGACUCGCGGCUUAUGAGCUUGUUGGUGGGGUAGUGGCUUACCAAGGCUUUGACGGGUAGCCGGCCUGAGAGGGUGACCGGCCACAUUGGGCCUACGAUACGGCGCAGACUCCUACGGGAGGCAGCAGUGGGGAAUAUUGCAGAAUAGGCGGAAGCCUGAUGCAGCAACGCCGCGUGCGGGAUGACGGCCUUCGGGUUGUAAACCGCUUUCGCCUGUGACGAAGCGUGAGUGACGGUAAUGGGUAAAGAAGCACCGGCUAACUACGUG